UACGUAGGGUGCAAGCGUUGUCCGGAAUUAUUGGGCGUAAAGAGCUCGUAGGCGGUCUGUCGCGUCUGCUGUGAAAACCUAGGGCUUAACUCUGGGCGUGCAGUGGGUACGGGCAGGCUAGAGUGCGGUAGGGGAGACUGGAAUUCCUGGUGUAGCGGUGAAAUGCGCAGAUAUCAGGAGGAACGCCGGUGGCGAAGGCGGGUCUCUGGGCCGUAACUGACGCUGAGGAGCGAGAGCAUGGGGAGCGAACAGG
rnacentral:rRNA from 1 species